CAGUCGCCGCGGUAAUACGUAGGGUGCAAGCGUUAUCCGGAAUUAUUGGGCGUAAAGAGCUCGUAGGCGGUUUGUCGCGUCUGCUGUGAAAACUGGAGGCUCAACCUCCAGCCUGCAGUGGGUACGGGCAGACUAGAGUGCGGUAGGGGAGAUUGGAAUUCCUGGUGUAGCGGUGGAAUGCGCAGAUACCAGGAGGAACACCGAUGGCGAAGGCAGAUCUCUGGGCCGUAACUGACGCUGAGGAGCGAAAGCAUGGGGAGCGAACAGGAUUAGAGACCCCCGUAGUCCCUGUCUCUUAUAC
rnacentral:rRNA from 1 species